AGACUCCUACGGGAGGCAGCAGUAGGGAAUCUUGCGCAAUGGGCGAAAGCCUGACGCAGCAAUGCCGCGUGCGGGACGAAGGCCCUAGGGUCGUAAACCGCUUUCAGUAGGGACGAAAAUGACGGUACCUGCAGAAGAAGCUCCGGCCAACUACGUGCCAGCAGCCGCGGUGAUACGUAGGGAGCAAGCGUUGUCCGGAAUUACUGGGCGUAAAGGGCUCGUAGGUGGUUGAGUAAGUCAGAUGUGAAAUCUCAGGGCCCAACCCUGAGCCUGCAUUUGAUACUGCUCUGACUAGAGUCCGGUAGGGGAGUGCGGAACUCCUGGUGUAGCGGUGAAAUGCGCAGAUAUGAGGAAGAACACCGACAGCGAAGGCAGCACUCUGGGCCGGUACUGACACUGAGGAGCGAAAGCAUGGGUAGCAAACAGGAUUAGAUACCCUGGUAGUCCAUGCCGUAAACGUUGGGCACUAGGUGUGGGGAGAACUCAACUCUCUCCGCGCCGUAGCUAACGCAUUAAGUGCCCCGCCUGGGGAGUACGGCCGCAAGGCUAAAACUCAAAGGAAUUGACGG
rnacentral:rRNA from 1 species